ensembl:lncRNA
CGGGCCCCUGACGUCACCCGAUUCGCCAGGAAAUGAACUUUUUAAUAAUCCAAGGAGGGUGGAAAGCCCUCGGUCCCCUCGGCUCGGGGGGCGCCCAGCCAGGCGGGCUCAGCUUCUCGGGCGCGCCCCCGUCACCCCCUCCCAGGUCCUCUGCGGACAGCGCUGAGGGGGCGCGCGCACGGCAGGGCCUCCUCCGGCCUCUGCGACUGGCGUCCAUCUGUCUGUCCGAGGCUCUGGAACAGAGUUCCAGGAGGAGAACGCGGUGCGCAGAGGAAGCUGCCUUGGCCGAGUCGGUGCCACGGCUGGCAAGGCGGGGGUCUCCCAGCACCACCCCUGAGAGCAGAUUAUCGCAGCCCUUUCAGAGCGCACACAACAAAUGCGCCCGCCAUCGAAUGCAGCAUUUACCACCACAGAUCCGCGCGCCGAUGGGCAGGCUGAUAGCGUCCGCGGGGGGCUCGCCGGGGCGAGUGUGCGCCCCGGCUCUGCCUGGUGUGUUUGGAGGAACACGUGGGUAUGCCAGCGAGUGGACCCAGAGCGAGCAAGGAUGUGAGUGUGCGAGUAAGUGUGCCUCGAGAAAGUUCACGUGUGCGAGACCCUGCGCACACACAUGGUGAGUGUUCGUGGCGAGUGCCAGAGAAGAGGCCGGCGAGAGGCAGGCGGGAAAGGAUGCUGCACGUGACCUCGUGGGAAGCACGCUGCUAGUGUGUGCAGUGUGCUAGCCGCGUGCACGAGACAAUUUACAGUGAGGGCCUACAAGUACCUAGCUUUCGAGGAUGCUGUUUGGGGGUGCG